rnacentral:tRNA from 1 species
GCUGUCUUAGCUCAAUUGGCAGAGCAGCUGAUUUGUAAUCAGCAGGUUGCAGGUUGCAAGUUCAAGUCUUGUCGGCAGCUUA